AGUUAGCGCCGAUGCUCCCAAUUGUGUCCUUUGCAUUAUAACCUCAUUACCGCCGCCAUUUAUCACGCCGGUUCGUCUGACACCCGAAAUUCCUUUUUCCCUUCAAACCAUUCCCCGACUGCUAUAUAUACCGUUGUGUGAUCGCCAUUCAAAGAGAGAAAACGAUAAGAGAAACGAGAACUAAACGAGAUAACAACGAGAGACAGAACGAUAUAACUAGGAAACGGCAAACGACAACUCCUAGAUAAUCUAGACUAGGACGUAGCUUUAGGUGUCACCCACGAGCGCACGAAGUCAACUGCAGAUCACCUGCAAUCAGCUAAUAAACAAUACACCAACAACGGGUGUCUGAAAGUGGUGACCUCGACGUGAUCAAACGAACAAACGUGAUCAAAAGAACAAAAAAGGGAUCUAAUCAACCAACGAAAGCAAUCAAGCAAAGACGGAACCGUCAUUGGACGAGAAUCGAGAUAACUAGAAACGUGACACUUCAUCGAGCGACCAUCGCCCCUGAAGAUUCUUCGCCGAGGGAGCACCGUUUGAACCAACAUUGUUAUUGCACACAAAUGCAAGGCAUGGAUAACAACUGGCUGUCCUCCACACAUCUCUCGAGCAAUCGAAAUCCUUUCGUGGAGGUUCGCUGACACAACAUCCCACCCAUGCCGGAACCGGCCACAUCUAACACAAGCAACGCUAAACCACAUCCGGGGUUUUAAAAGGUCAGUGGCAUUUCAUCUAUGUUGCACAAUGUCGCAGGCACACCGUUCGACCUUAUGUCUUACAAUAGCGCCGACGGUACACCAGUAACUAGCGCGCCACACAAACCGGACUGUAUGUUUAGCACCCCAAAUGCCCCUGGUGAUAGUUCGGUAACUUUUUUAUUUUAUCCUACAAUGCUAAACGAAAUGAAAAACCCCAAACGCGUUAAAUUGCCAAAUUCCAGAAAUAUCGCGUGUGGAAUAUGCGCUUUCACCCGAAUCAGAGAACGCUUAUGAUGUACUAAAAAACGCCUUAUUGCGCGCCUUCGCACGGGCGGAGAGUGAGGAGAAAUUUGACGAUAUCGAGAAUCUAGACAUCGGGAACGACACACCGACCGAGUUUGUAAACAGAAUGAAAUCGAUUUUGGGUAGCGACCGUGAAAACCCAUUCGCUGUUAAGCUAAUGCGAAACAAGCUUCUGAAGUGUGUCCCUCGCGACGUCGAAAUUACAGUGCGCUCCCGGAGGGGUUGGAAUUUUGAAGACUUGGUUGAAUGUGCGGAUGAGGUAGUAAAGGGCAGCAGUUCACGUAAUAGUCACAAGGAUAACGUUACGAGCAGACAGGACUCCAGUCCUAUCGAAGCUAUGAGGAGGCGAGUCGAUUCAUUAGCCGAGUCGAUCCGGACCUUAACGAUUGUCAUGAAAACCCGCAGUUUUCGCAAGGUCAAACAUACCCGCGACCCCGCAUAUCUUAUAAUCGCGACGCACCGCGUUUUGGUAACCGACAAAACCAUAGCGCAAGGUCACAAAAAUCAUCGAUCGUCGACAACGCGAUGUUAAUUCUUCGUCACGUGUACCUAACGACUAUAAUGGCAGCCAACGUAGGCCAUCCCGGUUUUGCAUGUAUCACGACCGAUAUGGGAGCGACGCAAUUCGAUGCUCCAAUGGCAACAAAAAAAAUUUCGCCCGACGGAGACCAGCGACUCGACAGCGCGCGCGUUACAUUGGAUCAGUACUGAAACAUAAACGCCAAAAUCCUCGGCUUUUCUUCGUGCACGAUACUCGCAACAAUAUUCAAUUUCUGGUAGACACAGGCGCAGAGGUAUCCGUGAUUCCUCCACUAAAUAAAAAAUACUCUCGUCGCACUAAACGACACUAACAUUAAAACUUAUGGGUAUCGGCAUUUAGCUAUUUCUUUGAAUAAUUGUGGAACAUUUCGCUGGAAGUUUUGUGUUGCAAACGUACGUCA